UAUACGGAGGUGGAAUGAGCUCAGCAAAAGCUGCAUUGGAGAGCGAUACAAAAGUGCUGGCUUUUGAACUGCACUUGCUUGCCACAAAGCAUCAGAUGUUUCAUCUGAUUCCAACACCUCAGGGAGCUUUUAUGUACUCAAUGACAUAUUCCGUCUCAACGUGCUCAUUACAAAGAUUCUAGGAUACACUUGGAGGAAUGAUAGCUCGACCUUAUCAUCUGG